rnacentral:lncRNA from 1 species
ACAGCCUUCUACAAGGGAUUUACACCCUCCUUUUUGCGUUUGGGAUCCUGGAACGUGGUGAUGUUCGUAACCUAUGAGCAGCUGAAACGGGCCCUGAUGAAAGUCCAGAUGUUACGGGAAUCACCGUUUUGAACAAGACAAGAAGGCCACUGGUAGCUAACGUGUCCGAAACCAGUUAAGAAUGGAAGAAAACGGUGCAUCCACGCACACAUGGACACAGACCCACACAUGUUUACAGAACUGUUGUUUACUUGUUGCUGAUUCAAGAAACAGAAGUAGAAGAGGAGGAGGGAUUCUGGUCUUCACUGCCAUGCCUCAAGAACACCUUUGUUUUGCACUGACAAGAUGGAAAAUAAAUUAUAUUAAUUUUUGAAACCCAUUAGGCAUGCCUAAUAUUUAGGCAAGAGAAAAUAAACCAAGAUAGAUCCAUUUGGACAAAAUGGAAGGUUGGAGACGUGUAUCCCCGUGAAAUCUGGUUAGAUAAUGAAUGAUAAGCAGGAAGGAUGGCAAGCACGGGACAGGAGGGGCCCACAAUGGAGUGGGAGAUCAGCCACGGAGCCUGGAGGGAUGCCACCCAGCAACACAGAGCUGGCGACUGCAGCUGCACCAUCACACAUGCAUCAUCAGCCUAUUUGUAAUAUGUCUGCCACAGAGAGUCCUUUGGGAUUCUAGGAAACCCAAGGAACAAGAGAAAAAACUAGAGCCUGUGCUAAAGAAGCCCUGCUGGGCCCAUGUGAGGCUGGGGCUCGUAAAUAUUCCCUGACGACACUGAAGAAUCAAGAGGGCAGCCCCCACUUUCCUACAAAAUGGAGGGAGCCAUCCCUUCCCUGUCCACCUCACCAGGGGUGCUAUGACAUGCAAGUGAGAAGCUGGGCAUGAACGCACUUUAUAAAAGC